AGAGCGAACGCUGGCGGCAGGCUUAACACAUGCAAGUCGAGCGGGCGUAGCAAUACGUCAGCGGCAGACGGGUGAGUAACGCGUGGGAACAUACCUCUUGGUUCGGAACAACACAGGGAAACUUGUGCUAAUACCGGAUAAGCCCUUACGGGGAAAGAUUUAUCGCCGAGAGAUUGGCCCGCGUCUGAUUAGCUAGUUGGUGAGGUAACGGCUCACCAAGGCGAUGAUCGAUAGCUGGUCUGAGAGGAUGAUCAGCCACAUUGGGACUGAGACACGGCCCAAACUCCUACGGGAGGCAGCAGUGGGGAAUAUUGGACAAUGGGCGCAAGCCUGAUCCAGCCAUGCCGCGUGAGUGAUGACGGCCUUAGGGUUGUAAAGCUCUUUCGCUCGGGACGAUAAUGACGGUACCGAGAUAAGAAGCCCCGGCUAACUUCGCGCCAGCAGCCGC
rnacentral:rRNA from 1 species